CUGGGCAGCACACAUUCUGAGAAGGUGGACUUCAGGAGUGAAUCACAAUGAAUUUUACCAUUACAAUGACCUCAUUUCUCUUCCUGCAAUUGGUCUGAAGAUAUGGCCCUGUUCCUGCUGAUGUAUAUAGGGAGAAUUCUGCUGUGUGCACAAGGAAUGGAUUUGCAUCUUAAUAAAAGAGAAGAUGUUCCAGGAGGAAAUCCUACUGUCCCCGUGUCCUUCCCAUUCAAUGUUCUGUCCUGUGAGGAGGAUAUGACAUCAUAGUUGCAGUGGGUAACAUGUACUGUAGAGGUGACAAACUUAGGGAAGGUUGCCAAAGAUGGUACUGAAAAGUAUGGUAUGUGGUCCUGAGAACAUCAUGGAGCCACCUCCUGACUCCAGACAUCUUUUAGGGAACUAUAAUAUUGGAUGCCAUCUUCUCCUGAGAAAACCAACCCCAAACGGUGCUUUCUCCAGACACUCGCUUCUCUUGGACAUAUUUAUUCACCAGUUAUUUCUUCAGUAUCUCAUCUAUACGUACUCUUACCCUUUGCUCUCCUGGGUGAGUGGAAUUGGUAGCAACAGGUGCUCAAUAUUGCAUUAAAAUCUUAAACAUUGUUGGAUUUGAAAACAUUGUGAGGUUUAAAAUGUUUUUUCAUAGUGCCAAUAGCAAACAUUUAUAUACAAAUAACCUUUUCAGGAGGGCAGCAUUUCGAUCAAAUGAAGUUCCAAUUAAAAUGAUCUACUAGCAUUAUUUGUCAAUUGUACUUUUUCUAAAAGAAUGAAUUUACCUUAUGCCCUCAUCCAUUCAAUCAUUCAUUUAUCUAGCACAUAUUUAUUAAGUACUUACUACGUGGUUUGCAAAUUUCAGGUAAGAGAGGUAUAUAUAACAGUGAACAAAAGAAACAAAGACCCCUGCCCUUAAUGGAUUUACCUUUUCGCAAGGGAAGACAGAUCAUAUCAAUACAAAAAGAUUUGUGUGUGUCCACUGAAUUGCCAUAGAACAGCACAGAAACACUCUCAUUCUGCCUUUAAACCUAUGGAAAUAGUACUUGUUAUCAAAUGCUUACAUACAACUUAACAAACUUCUUUGGGUAUAGGUCACUUGUUUGUAUUGAAUAUAAGUGAUCUCCUUUCCCCCUAAUCUAAAAACAGUUGAUUAAAAUCCAUCCCAUAACCCAGCCCAGGGUAGUAUAAACAUAUUAGAGAGAUCCUUAGGAUAACCGGCACACUCUUGUUUCUUUACAGAUACGUAGACUGAAACUCAGAGAUGUUUAUGACUUCUUUGAACGUAUGCUAUAAGGGUAUUGACAAUUAUUGUAACUGGGUAGGGAUAAUGCAAGCAAUGAGUUUGAUUUAUUUUCAAAAUUAAGUAUAAAAUCAAGAAUCAAACAGUGGGAGUGGCUUAAAAUCUUAAGCUAAGUUAUCUAAAUUGAGUGAAUUCAGAAUUGGGCAAAAAUGAACGAUGGUAUAGCAUUUUCAGAGACUGUUUCUGGUGCCUCCAAGUAGAUAUUUAUCAAUGUUAGAGUGUGAUUAAAUUAUUCUUUCAUUGAUUACUUUAAGGGACACCUAAGAGGAUAUAAAAAUAAAAGUCAAGGUAUCUAAGUGAUCCA
rnacentral:lncRNA from 12 species